CGAGCGGUAGAGAGAAGCUUGCUUCUCUUGAGAGCGGCGGACGGGUGAGUAAUGCCUAGGAAUCUGCCUGGUAGUGGGGGAUAACGCUCGGAAACGGACGCUAAUACCGCAUACGUCCUACGGGAGAAAGCAGGGGACCUUCGGGCCUUGCGCUAUCAGAUGAGCCUAGGUCGGAUUAGCUAGUUGGUGGGGUAAUGGCUCACCAAGGCGACGAUCCGUAACUGGUCUGAGAGGAUGAUCAGUCACACUGGAACUGAGACACGGUCCAGACUCCUACGGGAGGCAGCAGUGGGGAAUAUUGGACAAUGGGCGAAAGCCUGAUCCAGCCAUGCCGCGUGUGUGAAGAAGGUCUUCGGAUUGUAAAGCACUUUAAGUUGGGAGGAAGGGCAGUAACCUAAUACGUUGCUGUCUUGACGUUACCGACAGAAUAAGCACCGGCUAACUCUGUGCCAGCAGCCGCGGUAAUACAGAGGGUGCAAGCGUUAAUCGGAAUUACUGGGCGUAAAGCGCGCGUAGGUGGUUUGUUAAGUUGGAUGUGAAAUCCCCGGGCUCAACCUGGGAACUGCAUUCAAAACUGACAAGCUAGAGUAUGGUAGAGGGUGGUGGAAUUUCCUGUGUAGCGGUGAAAUGCGUAGAUAUAGGAAGGAACACCAGUGGCGAAGGCGACCACCUGGACUGAUACUGAC
rnacentral:rRNA from 1 species